CCUACGGGAGGCAGCAGUGAGGAAUAUUGGUCAAUGGACGAGAGUCUGAACCAGCCAAGUAGCGUGAAGGAUGACUGCCCUAUGGGUUGUAAACUUCUUUUAUAUGGGAAUAAAACGUUCCACGUGUGGGAUUUUGUAUGUACCAUAUGAAUAAGGAUCGGCUAACUCCGUGCCAGCAGCCGCGGUAAGACGGAGGAUCCGAGCGUUAUCCGGAUUUAUUGGGUUUAAAGGGAGCGUAGGUGGAUUGUUAAGUCAGUUGUGAAAGUUUGCGGCUCAACCGUAAAAUUGCAGUUGAAACUGGCAGUCUUGAGUACAGUAGAGGUGGGCGGAAUUCGUGGUGUAGCGGUGAAAUGCUUAGAUAUCACGAAGAACUCCGAUUGCGAAGGCAGUUCACUGGACUGCAACUGACACUGAGGCUCGAAAGUGUGGGUAUCAAACAGGAUUAGAUACCCCGGUAGUC
rnacentral:rRNA from 1 species